UCCUGGCUCAGAGCGAACGCUGGCGGCAGGCCUAACACAUGCAAGUCGAGCGCCGUAGCAAUACGGAGCGGCAGACGGGAGAGUAACACGUGGGAACGUACCCUUCAGUUCGGAACAACCCAGGGAAACUUGGGCUAAUACCGGAUACGUCCGUAAGGAGAAAGAUUUAUCGCUGAAGGAUCGGCCCGCGUCUGAUUAGCUUGUUGGUGAGGUAACGGCUCACCAAGGCUACGAUCAGUAGCUGGUCUGAGAGGAUGAUCAGCCUCACUGGGACUGAGACACGGCCCAGACUCCUACGGGAGGCAGCAGUGGGGAAUAUUGGACAAUGGGCGCAAGCCUGAUCCAGCCAUGCCGCGUGGGUGAUGAAGGCCCUAGGGUUGUAAAGCCCUUUCGGCGGGGAAGAUAAUGACGGUACCCGCAGAAGAAGCCCCGGCUAACUUCGUGCCAGCAGCCGCGGUAAUACGAAGGGGGCUAGCGUUGCUCGGAAUCACAGGGCGUAAAGCGCACGUAGGCGGCUUUUUAAGUCAGGGGUGAAAUCCUGGAGCUCAACUCCAGAACUGCCUUUGAUACUGAGAAGCUUGAGUCCGGGAGAGGUGAGUGGAACUGCGAGUGUAGAGGUGAAAUUCGUAGAUAUUCGCAAGAACACCAGUGGCGAAGGCGGCUCACUGGCCCGGUACUGAC
rnacentral:rRNA from 1 species